rnacentral:rRNA from 1 species
UACGUAGGGUGCAAGCGUUGUCCGGAAUCAUUGGGCGUAAAGGGCGUGUAGGCGGUUUGUUAAGUCAUGUGUGAAAUCCCUCGGCUCAACCGAGGAAGACGCAUGAAACUGGCAAGCUAGAGUACCGAAGAGGGGGUGGAAUUCCCGGUGUAGCGGUGAAAUGCGCAGAUAUCAGGAGGAACACCGGUGGCGAAGGCGGGUCUCUGGGCCGAUACUGACGCUGAGGAGCGAAAGCGUGGGGAGCAAACAGG